GAUGAAGAACGCAGCGAAACGCGAUAAGUAAUGUGAAUUGCAGAAUUCAGUGAAUCAUCGAAUCUUUGAACGCACAUUGCGCCCGCUGGUAUUCCGGCGGGCAUGCCUGUUCGAGCGUCAUUUCAACCCUCAAGCCCCCGGGUUUGGUGUUGGGGAUCGGCUCUGCCUUCUGGCGGUGCCGCCCCCGAAAUACAUUGGCGGUCUCGCUGCAGCCUCCAUUGCGUAGUAGCUAACACCUCGCAACUGGAACGCGGCGCGGCCAUGCCGUAAAACCCCAACUUCUGAAUGUUGACCUCGGAUCAGGUAGGAAUACCCGCUGAACUUAAGCAUAUCAAUAAGCGGAGGA
rnacentral:misc_RNA from 1 species